rnacentral:rRNA from 1 species
GACGAACGCUGGCGGCGUGCCUAAUACAUGCAAGUUGAGCGAUGAAGAUUGGUGCUUGCACCAAUUUGAAGAGCAGCGAACGGGUGAGUAACGCGUGGGGAAUCCGCCUUUGAGCGGGGGACAACAUUUGGAAACGAAUGCUAAUACCGCAUAACAACUUUAAACAUAAGUUUUAAGUUUGAAAGAUGCAAUUGCAUCACUCAAAGAUGAUCCCGCGUUGUAUUAGCUAGUUGGUGAGGUAAAGGCUCACCAAGGCGAUGAUACAUAGCCGACCUGAGAGGGUGAUCGGCCACAUUGGGACUGAGACACGGCCCAAACUCCUACGGGAGGCAGCAGUAGGGAAUCUUCGGCAAUGGACGAAAGUCUGACCGAGCAACGCCGCGUGAGUGAAGAAGGUUUUCGGAUCGUAAAACUCUGUUGGUAGAGAAGGACGUUGGUGAGAGUGGAAAGCUCAUCAAGUGACGGUAACUACCCAGAAAGGGACGGCUAACUACGUG